UACGUAGGGGGCAAGCGUUGUCCGGAAUCAUUGGGCGUAAAGCGCGUGUAGGCGGCUCGGUAAGUCCGCUGUGAAAGUCGGGGGCCCAACCCUCGGAUGCCGGUGGAUACUGUCGGGCUUGAGUACGGAAGAGGCGAGUGGAAUUCCUGGUGUAGCGGUGAAAUGCGCAGAUAUCAGGAGGAACACCGAUUGCGAAGGCAGCUCGCUGGGACGUUACUGACGCUGAGACGCGAAAGCGUGGGGAGCAAACAGG
rnacentral:rRNA from 1 species